rnacentral:lncRNA from 1 species
AUGGAACAUCCAAGCUAUAUUCCAGGUUAUAAAAAUAUAAAUGUUGCAACAUUGUACAGACCAUUAGAUAACUAUGAAUAUGUUAAUGCCACACGAGUUAAACAAUUUUCCUAUAAUCCAAACUUUAGGCAAGAACCACUCAUGGGUCCAUAUAUCAAAGAAUACUAUGAGAAUAGUGUAAACUAUCAAAUUAAUAAAGAUAUGAAACCAUUAAUUUUUCAUCCCCUUAUGUUACCAUAUAAAGAUAUGCAUAGACAAUGUAACCCAUUAGUCGCAUAUCCUUAUGGAAUACCACGAGAUGCAAAGGUACAUGAUAAAUGCUCAAAAUGUAAAGGAAAAAAAAAAAAAAAAAAAAAAAAAAAAAAAAAAAAAAAAAAAAAAAAAAAAAAAAAAGAAAGAAAAAGAAAAAAAAAAAAUUAUUGUAAAAGCGUUGGUAUUGCCUUUUUUGUAAAAAUGAAAAGUAUUAAAAAAAAUGGAAAUGUUGUUAGUUCUUUUCGUAUAUAGUAUAUAUAUAGUAUAUAUUUAAAUAUACACAAAUAAAUUUAUGUAAUUUUAAUUAUGAUAAAACA